AUUGAACGCUGGCGGCAUGCCUUACACAUGCAAGUCGAACGGCAGCACGGGAGCAAUCCUGGUGGCGAGUGGCGAACGGGUGAGUAAUGUAUCGGAACGUGCCUUGUCGUGGGGGAUAACGUAGCGAAAGCUACGCUAAUACCGCAUACCAUCUAAGGAUGAAAGCGGGGGAUCGCAAGACCUCGCGCGACAAGAGUGGCCGAUAUCAGAUUAGGUUGUUGGUGGGGUAAAGGCUCACCAAGGCGACGAUCCGUAGCUGGUCUGAGAGGACGACCAGCCACACUGGAACUGAGACACGGUCCAGACUCCUACGGGAGGCAGCAGUGGGGAAUUUUGGACAAUGGGCGCAAGCCUGAUCCAGCAAUUCCGCGUGAGUGAAGAAGGCC
rnacentral:rRNA from 1 species